AAGUGACUUAAGGGCAUUUAGUGGAUGCCUUGGGAUGCACAGGCGAUGAAGGACGUGAUACGCUGCGAAAAGCGUCGGGGAGCUGCGAAUAAGCUUUGAUCCGAUGAUAUCCGAAUGGGGAAACCUACCUUAGAUGUCUAGAAAAUUUAAGGUGUUCUUAAUUGAACAUCUUAUCUUUCUAGAUAUCGAUAAAAGGUAUCUGCACCUGAAUAAAAUAGGGUGUAUGAAGCGAACGUGGGGAACUGAAACAUCUAAGUACCCAUAGGAAAGGACAUCAACCGAGACUCCGUUAGUAGCGGCGAGCGAACGCGGACCAGGCCAGUGGCAAUAGUAAGAAAAGCGGAAGCGUCUGGAAAGUCGUGCCGUAGUGGGUGAUAGCCCCGUACGCGUUAAUCGAUCUAUUGUCCUCGAGUAGGGCGGAACACGUGAAAUUCUGUCUGAACAUGGGGGGACCACCCUCCAAGCCUAAGUACUCGUGCAUCACCGAUAGCGAACCAGUACCGUGAGGGAAAGGUGAAAAGCACCCCGACAAGGGGAGUGAAAUAGUACCUGAAACUGGAUGCCUACAAACAGUGGGAGGCCGCAAGGCUGACCGCGUACCUUUUGUAUAAUGGGUCAACGACUUAGUGUAGCAAGCAAGCUUAAGCCGAUAGGUGUAGGCGUAGCGAAAGCGAGUCUUAAUAGGGCGAAUAGUUUGUUGCAUUAGACCCGAAACCAAGUGAUCUAGCCAUGAGCAGGUUGAAGGUUGAGUAACAUCAACUGGAGGACCGAACCCACUGACGUUGAAAAGUCAGGGGAUGACUUGUGGCUGGGGGUGAAAGGCCAAUCAAACCGGGAAAUAGCUCGUACUCCCCGAAAUGCAUUUAGGUGCAGCGUUGCGUGGUUCUUGUUGGAGGUAGAGCACUGGAUGGUCUAGGGGGCUUA
rnacentral:rRNA from 14 species